rnacentral:rRNA from 1 species
UACCAGCACCCCGAGUGGUCGGGACGUUUUAUUGGGCCUAAAGCAUCCGUAGCCGGUCCUGCAAGUCUUCCGUUAAAUCCAGCUGCUCAACAGAUGGGCUGCGGGGGGAUACUACAGGGCUAGGAGGCGGGAGAGGCAAGCGGUACUUUAUGGGUAGGGGUAAAAUCCGUUGAUCCAUAGAAGACCACCAGUGGCGAAGGCGGCUUGCCAGAACGCGCUCGACGGUGAGGGAUGAAAGCUGGGGGAGCAAACCGG